rnacentral:rRNA from 1 species
CAGAGGUCUCAAGCGUUGUUCGGAUUCAUUGGGCGUAAAGGGUGUGUAGGUGGCGCGCUAAGUCGGGUGUGAAAUUUCGGAGCUUAACUCCGAAACUGCAUUCGAUACUGGCGUGCUUGAGGACUGGAGAGGAGACUGGAAUUUACGGUGUAGCAGUGAAAUGCGUAGAUAUCGUAAGGAAGACCAGUGGCGAAGGCGGGUCUCUGGACAGUUCCUGACACUGAGACACGAAGGCCAGGGGAGCAAACGGGAUUAGAUACCCCGGUAGUCCUGGCAGUAAACGGUGCACGUUUGGUGUGGGAGGAUUCGACCCCUUCUGCGCCGGAGCUAACGCGUUAAGCGUGCCGCCUGGGGAGUACGGUCGCAAGAUUA